rfam:Rattus norvegicus chromosome 2, whole genome shotgun sequence.
GGGGAUUUAGCUCAGUGGUAGAGCACUUGCCUAGCAAGUGCAAGGCCCUGGGUUCGGGCCCAGCUCCA